ensembl:lncRNA
GGUCCGCCCAGUUCUAACUAGUGUUUUUAACAAAGUCUACCUACGGGUAGUGUAUGCCCAUGGGCGACUUGUCUUGGUUUCCCCUUUUCCCACCAGCAAUCAAACACAAACACCAUAACCAAAAACAAUACUCACAGGAGAUGACAAAGUGAUUUGGAGGUGCUCAAACAAAAGAGAGGUUAAGACACAAAGAGAGAGUGAAACACAGAGAUCUACAUACAUAUUUACAGAGAGAUUGAGCUCUAGAGCAAACAACUGAUGGGGUUUUUAAACCAAGGGAAAGGAACUGUGAUAGGGUAGGAAACAGGAGGAGGUGUGUCUUCUGAUUGAUGAUUGAUUGUUGUCUGAUUGGGGAUUGAUGAUGUUCACCUGGUGAGGGGAGAAGGAGAGAAAAGGAACACACACAGGAUACACACACAGGAUACUUGUAUCCGUAACACUUGUAUCCGUAACACCCUCUUUACACACAACAAUAUGUUAAUUACCCUCUUUAUACACAAUAUGUUAAUUGCCCUCUUUAUACACAGCAAUAUGUUAAUUACCCUCUUUACACACAACAAUAUGUUAAUUACCCUCUUUAUACACAAUAUGUUAAUUGCCCUCUUUAUACACAGCAAUAUGUUAAUUACCCUCUUUACACACAACAAUAUGUUAAUUACCCUCUUAAUACACAACAAUAUGUUAAUUACCCUCUUUACACACAACAUGUUAAUUACCCUCUUUACACACAACAAUAUGUUAAUUACCCUCUUAAUACACAACUAUGUUAAUUACCAUCUUAAUACACAACAAUAUGUUAAUUACCCUCUUUAUACACAGCAAUAUGUUAAUUACCCUCUUAAUACACAACAAUAUGUUAAUUACCCUCUUUAUACACAGCAAUAUGUUAAUUACCCUCUUUACACACAACAAUAUGUUAAUUGCCCUCUUUAUACACAACGAUAUGUUAAUUGCCCUCUUAAUACACAACAAUAUGUUAAUUACCCUCUUUAUACUCAGCAAUAUGUUAAUUACCCUCUUUACACACAACGAUAUGUUAAUGACCCUCUAUAUACACAACGAUAUGUUCAUUACCCUCCAUAUACACAACGAUAUGUUCAUUACCCUCUAUAUACACAACGAUAUGUUAAUUACCCUCUUAUACACAACGAUAUGUUAAUUACCCUCUUUAGACACAACGAUAUGUUAAUUACCCUCUUUAGACACAACGAUAUGUUAAUUACCCUCUUUAGACACAACGAUAUGAAAAUGUUUCUAAAGGAUUGCCGAGCGACUAUCAUACUGUCACACACACACAUCUGUGUGGCUUGGAGACAGUUUAGUUGUCUCGGACAGAUACUGAUUAGCUGACUGAAUGGUUAAUGACACGCAUAUAGUCCUGCGGGUUAUUGUAUAAAUAUGUUCAUAUGUAGCCUAUGUAAAUAUAUUAGCAGUUUGGUCAUGAAGAAUCACUAGAUGUGUGUGUUUCAUUCUUCAAUUUUUUAUAAAUCUAAGUGUUGUAAUAUUACAGCCUACACAAUGUCAUCAUAAUGUACAUGUACUCUGUGGUGGGUUGUCUGUUCGUUUUUGUUUUAUUAUUUCUUCACUUUAUAAAUCAA